rnacentral:rRNA from 1 species
GAAUUUUCCGCAAUGGGCGCAAGCCUGACGGAGCAACGCCGCGUGCAGGACGACGGCCUUCGGGUUGUAAACUGCUUUUACCGGGGACGAUAUGGACGGUACCCGGCGAAUAAGCCCCGGCUAACUCCGUGCCAGCAGCCGCGGUAAUACGGAGGGGGCAAGCGUUGUCCGGACUUACUGGGCGUAAAGCGCACGUAGGCGGCGUCGUGCGUCGGCACUGAAAGCGCUCGGCUUAACCGAGCGAGGCGUGUCGAUACGACGAUGCUUGAGGCAAUGAGAGGUUGGUAGAAUUCCGGGUGUAGUGGGUGAAAUGCGUAGAGAUCCGGAGGAAUGCCUGUGGCGAAAGCGACCAACUGGUGUUGACCUGACGCUUGAGGUGCGAAAGCGUGGGGAGCGAACCGGAUUAGAUACCCGGGUAGUCCACGCGGUAAACGAUGUCGGCUCGGUGUGUGGCGAUGAUACAACCAUCGCUGCGUGCCCCAGUUUACACGGUAAGCCGACCGCCUGGGGACUACGAGCGCAAGCUUAAAACUCAAAGGAAUUGACGGGGGCCCGCACAAGCAGCGGAGCGUGUGGUUUAAUUCGACGCAACACGAAGAACCUUACCCAGGUUUGACAUGUUCCUGCAAGCCCACGGAGACGUGGGACCUACGAGGGUGGAACACAGGUGCUGCAUGGCUGUCGUCAGCUCGUGUCGUGAGAUGUUGGGUUAAGUCCCGCAACGAGCGCAACCCUCGCCGUCAGUUACCAGUGUCUGGCGGGACAGCCGUCUAGAGAGACGGAGGAAGGCGAGGAUGACGUCAAGUCCGCAUGGCCCUUACGCCUGGGGCGACACACACUGCUACAAUGGCCGGGACAAUGCGUUGCGACCCCGCAAGGGUGAGCUAAUCGCCAAACCCGGCCCCAGUUCA